UUGUCAAGCCUAGCACCACAUGAAUUCCAAGCCUUCCAUACUUGCAAGGCUACUUUCCCAAAUAUUGUUCUCAGAUCAGAGCCCUCGAAAGUUCAAUCGCAACCUCCCCUGCACCUUUCUCCCUCUAUCUCUCUUUCCCUCUCUAUCAAUUUUCAGUUUCCCGUAGACAUAUGGUUCCCCUCUUCCUCUCUAGCAUCCAGAUCUGAAUUUAUACAAUCAUGGACACACUUUAAAGACCCUUCCGAUGCAAUGGCAGACUUCAAGGAAAAGAGAUGGUUGGAUUAGAGUGAAUGGGCAUCUCAGUUGGAGUAGAGAAAGGGGUUUUACUGGAAGGCAAAAUGAAAACGGCCCGUCAAAAUUUCAGAUCUAAGAUUUCAGGUUGAUGGUGGAUUGUAGUAAACCUGGCUAUGAAGCUCUUACAAGCUACUUCGAUUAUGGACUUCGCCAAUUAAUGCAAACAUGAUACUCAUUGUAUAUCGACACAGGGUCUAUCUUAGCAUUUGUUAUCCCUAGCAAUUUUGGUUGUACAUAUUAAAGCCUAAUUAGGAUUUGAUUUGAGUAUCUUUGUGCUUUGUACUGUUGAUAGUAUUGGUUGUAAUAUAUUGUUGCUCGUUUUGUAUUUGUAAUGACA